GACGAACGCUGGCGGCGUGCUUAACACAUGCAAGUCGAACGGAAAGGCCCUGCUUUUGUGGGGUGCUCGAGUGGCGAACGGGUGAGUAACACGUGAGUAACCUGCCCUUGACUUUGGGAUAACUUCAGGAAACUGGGGCUAAUACCGGAUAGGAGCUCCUGCUGCAUGGUGGGGGUUGGAAAGUUUCGGCGGUUGGGGAUGGACUCGCGGCUUAUCAGCUUGUUGGUGGGGUAGUGGCUUACCAAGGCUUUGACGGGUAGCCGGCCUGAGAGGGUGACCGGCCACAUUGGGACUGAGAUACGGCCCAGACUACUACGGGAGGCAGCAGUGGGGAAUUUUGCACAAUGGGCGGAAGCCUGAUGCAGCAACGCCGCGUGCGGGAUGACGGCCUUCGGGUUGUAAACCGCUUUCGCCUGUGACGAAGCGUGAGUGACGGUAAUGGGUAAAGAAGCACCGGCUAACUACGUG
rnacentral:rRNA from 1 species